AUAAGAGCUUGGGCAUUUGGGGUAACGUUCAUUUACUGUGGGUGCCUCCCAGGACCCUCCCACACAGUCAUAUCACCCAGAAUAUCAAGGUAGAAAAUCCCACAAUAUAUGCUUUGAACUGGGUUAUCUGAGCCCACAGUGCCAUAUAUUCCAGGUCAAAGCAGAUACUGUGGGAUAUAUUCAGCUGUGUGGAAGGGCACAGUGACAGAUGUGAGGGCAAGUUCUGGCCACAUCCAGCACAAGGAGUCAUUGGCAGUUGAUCAUCAGGUUUUGUUCCACAUACUAAAAGCUAAGAAAAUCCUGAAGUUUGAGGUUCCGCUGCCAUGAAAACCUCAAGAACCCUCCUUUGUGGCUACAGCAAACCCUUUGUCUUCUUUGUCCUUUUUGCAAUGGGCACCAUUGUGGCUACGACCGUGGCAUCAGAGGAAUCUGCUGCCAUUGACUCUCAAUCUGUGACCCCCACUGCCACAACUGAGCGAAAAGAAGAUGCAAAAAUGACACCCAGUCCGGGGAAUCAUUCUGAGUUCUCAGAGGCAUCUCCGGAAGGGUCCAAUCCACCAGCUAAUUUGACUUCCAAAGAAACAAUUGCUGCCAUUGGCUCUCAAUCUGUGAACCACACUGCCACAGCCGGGCAAAAAGAAAAUGCAGAAAUCACACCCAGUCCAGGGAAGCGUUCUAAGGUCUCAGUGGCAUCUCCGAAAGGAACCAAUCCACCAGCUAAAUCGACUUCCAGUAAAACAACUACUAUCGACAAGGAUGCACUAGGACACAAUAUACUCAGAAAUAAUCGGUGCAGCUCUGAUGCAUGCACUUUGGGGAUUAACUCUAUCAUGAUAAUCUUGUUGUUGAGCCUAAGAAUCUAACCCUUUAAUAAUGUAACAAAUUUUGUGUGUAACCUGUAUUACUUGUAUAAUGUGUUGAUUUUUUAAAAUAUAUUUAAUGUAUAAAAUGUAUCUUCAAGACAGCUACCUCCCUGUCCCCUCAAUUUCCAUUAGGAACAGAGAUCAUCGCCAGAGUCCCUCCAGCUAUUUCCCAAGUCAGAUGGUAUUAGAACCUUUGUGUGUGUGUGUGUGUGUGUGUGUGUGUGUGUGUGUGUGUGUGUGUGUGUGUGCAAGACAGAUAAUCCCCUUUGUCACCAAGAUGAGCUCGGGAUGUUUGUCUGUUUAACUGAGGCUGAGAGAUUGCCACUCCCACAGAAGAGAAGACUCAGAAAGUAUGGAUUCAUUAAUUUCCUGAAUGGGCAGCCAAGCCCCUUGAUUACUUGAAACUGUCAUUUUUGUCUUUUGAGUUUUGCAUCUUUGUCUCCCACAGAACUGGACAUUUGAAUUAAUCAAGGAAUCAUCUGCAUACCCACGUCACCGCUUCCCCCAGUUUGGUGACCUCUCAGGUGGUGUCUUUGCAACUGAUUGGAACUUUAAACUGUCCAAACGUCAGCUGUUCCCUGGCCAAUCUCUAAGUAGAUCCAAGCCAGCCAAGCUUUUCUGCCAACCAGGGGAGGGAGAGGGAAGUCUGAAUAGCUAUCAGAAUUGCAAAAAUUGCCUGGUAUUUUUCAAUGCAUUUGUGCUUGUACCUUUGAAAGUGUGAUGCUUGUAUUUGCAUCCUUUUUGGUCAAAUCAUAAUAAACCUCUAAAGCUUUGCCUUCAA